AUCCCAUGGUGAGGACAACUUCUGGUGUAUCCUUUUAGACGCUCCCAAGCUUCACUUAGGGAUUCUUGACCACCCUGCAAAGGAAUUGAUAUCACUUCUGUACUU
rfam:Arabis alpina cultivar Pajares Aa.chr3_contig_4041, whole genome shotgun sequence.